AUUGAACGCUGGCGGCAGGCCUAACACAUGCAAGUCGAACGAGUGGCGGACGGGUGAGUAAUGUCUGGGAAACGGCCUGAGGGAGGGGGUUAAUUACCGGAAACGGUAGCUAAUACCGCCUAUCAUCGGAUGUGUCCAGGUGGGAUUAGCUAGUGGGUGGGGUAAAGGCACACCUAGGCGACGAUCCCUAGCUGGUCUGAGAGGAUGACCAGCCACACUGGAACUGAGACACGGUCCAGACUCCUACGGGAGGCAGCAGUGGGGAAUAUUGGACAAUGGGCGCAAGCCUGAUCCAGCCAUGCCGCGUGUAUGAAGAAGGCCUUCGGAUUGUAAAGUACUUUCAGCUGGGAGGCGUUACCAACAGAAGAAGCACCGGCUAACUCCGUGCCAGCAGCCGCGGUAAUAC
rnacentral:rRNA from 1 species